rnacentral:rRNA from 1 species
CCUACGGGUGGCAGCAGUGGGGAAUAUUGGACAAUGGGGGAAACCCUGAUCCAGCGACGCCGCGUGAGUGAAGAAGUAUUUCGGUACGUAAAGCUCUAUCAGCAGGGAAGAAAAUGACGGUACCUGACUAAGAAGCCCCGGCUAACUACGUGCCAGCAGCCGCGGUAAUACGUAGGGGGCAAGCGUUAUCCGGAUUUACUGGGUGUAAAGUGAGCGUAGACGGGAGAGCAAGUCUGGAGUGAAAUGCCGCGGCCCAACCCCGGAACUGCUAUGGAAACUGAGUAGCUUGAGUGCAGGAGAGGUAAGCGGAAUUCCUGGUGUAGCGGUGAAAUGCGUAGAUAUCAGGAGGAACACCGGCGGCGAAGGCGGCUUACUGGACUGUAACUGACGUUGAGGCUCGAAGGCGUGGGGAGCAAACAGGAUUAGAUACCCCUGUAGUC